UUGGAAGGUCCCCAGAAGUCUUCGAUCUUUUUGCCUGAAAUGAAAGUUCUAUUCAUGAAAUUAUUUCAUUUACAUGGUUUAAAUCCCUUCUUGCAAAAUAUCUAUUUACACUUUAUCGUUUUUUGCAUACAAAAACACCAGAUGCUAGAUUACACAGAUGAGGAAAAGCAAUGGACACUGGUCAGGGAACUGAAGAGAAAGAUAACGAAAAUGCAAGUGGCUCCAAUUCUGAAAACCAAAA